rnacentral:tRNA from 1 species
GGUGUAGCUCAAUGGUAGAGCAUUGAACAUGAACAAGGCCCUGGGUUCUAUUCCCAGCUCC